rnacentral:rRNA from 1 species
AUGGCGAUAUUAUUGGCGCUAAAGCGUCCGUAGCUGGCCCUGCAAGUCCGUCGGGAAAUCCACUCGCCUAACGAGUGGGCGUCCGGCGGAAACUACAGGGCUUGGGACCGGAAGACUUGAGGGGUACGUCUGGGGUAGGAGUGAAAUCCUGUAAUCCUGGACGGACCGCCGAUAGCGAAAGCACCUCAAGACGACGGAUCCGACAGUGAGGGACGAAAGCUAGGGUCUCGAAC